GGGGGCCGCGUGCAUAAACAUGCAGUCGAGCGGUAGCACAGAGAGCUUGCUCCUGGGUGACGAGCGGCGGACGGGUGAGUAAUGUCUGGGAAACUGCCUGAUGGAGGGGGAUAACUACUGGAAACGGUAGCUAAUACCGCAUAACGUCGCAAGACCAAAGAGGGGGACCUUCGGGCCUCUUGCCAUCAGAUGUGCCCAGAUGGGAUUAGCUAGUAGGUGGGGUAACGGCUCACCUAGGCGACGAUCCCUAGCUGGUCUGAGAGGAUGACCAGCCACACUGGAACUGAGACACGGUCCAGACUCCUACGGGAGGCAGCAGUGGGGAAUAUUGCACAAUGGGCGCAAGCCUGAUGCAGCCAUGCCGCGUGUAUGAAGAAGGCCUUCGGGUUGUAAAGUACUUUCAGCGGGGAGGAAGGCGAUAAGGUUAAUAACCUUGUCGAUUGACGUUACCCGCAGAAGAAGCACCGGCUAACUCCGUGCCAGCAGCCGCGGUAAUACGGAGGGUGCAAGCGUUAAUCGGAAUUACUGGGCGUAAAGCGCACGCAGGCGGUCUGUCAAGUCGGAUGUGAAAUCCCCGGGCUCAACCUGGGAACUGCAUUCGAAACUGGCAGGCUAGAGUCUUGUAGAGGGGGGUAGAAUUCCAGGUGUAGCGGUGAAAUGCGUAGAGAUCUGGAGGAAUACCGGUGGCGAAGGCGGCCCCCUGGGAC
rnacentral:rRNA from 1 species